rnacentral:rRNA from 1 species
UACGUAGGGGGCAAGCGUUGUCCGGAUUUAUUGGGCGUAAAGAGCGUGUAGGCGGCCAGGUAGGUCGGUUGUGAAAACUGGAGGCUCAACCUUCAGAGGUCGACCGAAACCAUCUGGCUAGAGUCCGGGAGAGGAGAGUGGAAUUCCUGGUGUAGCGGUGAAAUGCGCAGAUAUCAGGAAGAACACCCGUGGCGAAAGCGGCUCUCUGGAACGGUACCGACGCUGAGACGCGAAAGCGUGGGGAGCGAACAGG